CGCCCGCCCCUCGCGGCGAGGACCAAUCAGGCGGUGCGCAGCCCAACGGUCACGGCCGAGCGGGCGGAGCCUCGCGCGGGCGGGGCCUCGCGCGGGCGGGGUCGGGGCCUCGUUGGCCCGCCCCGCCUUCCGAAGGUGAUGGCGGUGGCCUGGGUGGCGGCGGCCGUCGGCGCCGGGAAGGUGAGGGGGAGCCCGCUCUGCUGGUGAGGGACUGGGGGGAGACACUCACACGCAAGGAUGUUGGGCGGCCCCCCGGGCCGGCAGCAUGAAGGUGGAGGCAGGGGACCUGUCCGCGAUCAACCUGUCGGUGCAGCAGGUGCUGAGCCUCUGGGCACAUGGCACCGUCCUGCGCAGCCUGACUGUUUCAUGUGUGUAAGAGAAAGGAGCAAAGCAACCUGAGAUACCAGCACUUGUGUUUUGGAGACGAGCAUUCCUGAACUCCUUCUCUAAGCACAUAACUCAGACCCAGCCUCCCCCUUCUCCAGCAGCAUGCAGAACGUAACAGAGAGCAAAGCCUUCCAUGAGAACUCUCCAAAGCAAGAAGCAAUCCUCUCACACUUCUGCAGUCCAUCAAGAAAGUCUUCAGCCUCAGAUGCCACAGUUAAUCACAGCACAAACAAGAGCUCAGGUCUGCCCUUCAGCUCCUCUGGCUGAAGACCUGAUUAAGGGCAAUCCAAACAAGAUCUGGCUAACAUUCACAGGUCCCUCACAGAGCGGUGCCAAGCUUGUGAGGGAGUUUGUUUACCAGUGACAAGUUUUAACCAUGGACACAUCCUCAUGUAUGUUGUGCAAGAGACGUGAAAUGUGUGUAAACAGAUUAACACCAUUUUCUGAUUCAUAGCAGUUGUGGAUUUAUCAUGUAAGAGGCAAACAUUUCAUAUUUUCCACCAGUUUUCCAUACAUCUGAUGACAAAAUGGCUUCACCAGAAGCUGCAGUGCAUUGGAGAAAGGAUUUAUCACAGCUGCAUUUAUUUUCCUCUACUUCAUGGCUUCAGCAUUCAUGGAGAGAUUGGCUUGAAAAGGAGCAUUCACUUGCCUUUCUGCUUGUAGUCCAGUAUUACUAUUGAAUCUCCUGUUCCAAGGCAGAGGAGAACAGAUUGUUAAAAAAAAAAAAAAAGGCACAAUACGAAGUCCUUUUAUAGAUUAAACAUGCUGUUGGGCAGAGGAUGCGAACCUGUCCCCAGCCUGUCAGCAGCCCUGGGGAACUGAACCUGCCUGAGAUUAGGAGAAAGGCAGUUUGGACCAGCUGCUAGUGCCUAAAGUGCUGCAAAAGUCAAAUGAGCCUGGGAUGUCCCUAACAAGUGAAGGAUUACUCGGUUUCUGGAGGAAUGACUUGCAAUCUACCACAGACCACAUCCAUUGAGAAUAAUGGUGCUUUGCUAGUGGAAAAAGUAUCUGCCACCAAGCAAACCUAGUUUGGUGCAAGAAUACAUGAAAAGAAAGAAAGCUCGUCUGAAAAUGCAGCAGAUACUAAACCCUGCAGCUAGUAUGUCUGGAGCUCACAUGGCUGGCCAGGAUGGCACAGGACUUACUGCCAGCCACAGCUUUCUGAGUCAGAGAUCAGAUGUGCUGCCAUGGGGCACCAAGCGUGGAAAAUAACCCAGUAUGUUUGGGAACCCAUAUCAUCUGAAACUGUCUCAGCCUUUCUUCUUCCCUGUUGAUGACCAUUUACUCACAGGGAACCCUCUUUUAAAGGUGCUUUCCUUGUCUGUAGAGCUCAGAGACUAUGAAGCACAGUAAAUGCUGUAUUUUAUUUAUCUCCAGCCUGCAUUGCAUGUGACAAUUGAGCUGAUAUGUAACAAAGUCCCAGCAUUUCUUCCCUCCUAAAUGAUCCUGUAUUUUAUGCUGACCAGAACAAAGAUGGGGGGGGGGGAACGACACACAAGAGUAGCCUAUUGGGCCAGAGACAGUGUAUUAGCAAGCACCUGUUAAUGUCGGGCCCCUACUGAUGAAAAUGUAGGCCAUGGGUAGCCACAGCUUCCGCCAAUGUGUCCCCCUUCCUCCAGUGGAUCAUCAGACAAACUUGUCAGCACAGCUAGGACAUGCGACAGGUGGUGCAGGUUUCCUUUAAAUAGCUGGACUCCUGUGCCAGAGGGGUAAUCUGCAGCCCAUGGGAGUGACAAAUAUGAAGGAUAUAAAUAUGCCAUCAUAAGAUUGUGGCACAACAACGAUGAAUGGAUGAGGCAAAAGUAAGUAUUUGUAUGUGGUUUGCAAACUCUGGGCUGUUAAAUCCUCUUAAACUUGAAUUCUAUUCAUCACUGGCAAUAUAGUGAUACUGUAGACAAAAACAUUAUUAGUUUGAUGGAAGAAAUGAAUAUGCCCUGGACUGUUAUACUUCGUUUUUAAAGGCAAGAUAUAACAAAUAAAGAUGUAUUCCAUUAAGGAAGCUCUUUUUAAAAAUCCCUGCUGGACUCUAAAGAAGUAAGAGGACUGUAAUAAUGAAGGGUGGAUUCUGUAUCUAAAUUGACAAUUACCUGUGGAACACGAGCUUUUUAAUGUUCAUACAAAACCUGCUGUUCUUAAGCCUGUGCUAACACACCAGUAGAAUAACUUCUCACCCCACACAGCUACCUUUUGCAUCCCCUCAUUGCCACCUGGGUUUCUGCAAGCUCAACUCAGUAGCUGCUGGGAAAAUGAGAGCGUCAAGAAUUUGAUCGUAUUACGAUUUUACUUUAUUUUGCACGGACCCAUCUGCCAUUAUACAGGUUGGGUUUCCCAAUAGCUGGCCACUUAGUGUUAAGGGAGCUUGGUUUCACAAGCACAUAAGUACAAAAGUAAAACCCAGGGAAAAUAGCCAGCUGGCAAAACACAUUAUGUGGUUCUGUAAAAUGCAUUUCACACAAAAGUACUUCAAAAAGAAGAGGGAAAAUAUGUUCAAGAAAAGAUUGUCCUCUAACUUCAGUUCAGGCUUGAGUGAAUACAUUUCAGCUUAGUCUUUCCAAGACAUUCAAGAGCUCCUAGAAGAUCUGGAAGAGCACAUCCAUCCAUGCCCUGAGCAUGAGAAAUGUUUUACAUUUAGGUAAACACUUAUUAACACUUUAGGUUUCCUCUUUUUCCUGAGAGCAGCUGUUCUUGCUGCACAUGCAAACCUCACUGUACUGCCUUAUCCACUGCAAUACACCAGAUUGCCUCCCCUACUUUAGAAAUAUUUUUAGUACUGGCUUUGCCCUGUCCUUGGUGUUUCUCAGCCAGCUGCUGCCCAAAGCUUUCCAUUGCAGAGAAAAGUGAUCCCCAAGGGUUGGGGUUGGCUGCUGGGACUGCUGGAGCUGCUGUCCCUGAUCCGACAGCCAGCCUUCCCUUCUGCCCUGGGGUUCUCACUCAAAGGACAAUUUGGGAAGACGUCCUUGGGGAUGAACAUUUUCUCUGGAUCUGGCAGAGACCUUGUGGGUGUAAAGCCUUGCAAGUGAUUUGCAUGGUGUCCCUCAGCAGGCAUUUAAAUUACUUGCAGAGUGGGAAGCUGUUGCUAGUUGCUCACCUAUUGCUCACAUUACCCUGCAUUUCAAAAUAUUGAAAUGAAGCAGCUGCUGAAUGUUUUAUCAGGUCUGCUAGACAAAAGGCAAAUUAAUCCCCUGCAGCUUCAAACACUGGUGCCAGAGAAGAAACCUCAUAUGAAAUUUUGCUCUGUCUGAUUUGGAGAACUUUGAUCUGAAUGUCUCCUGCGGAUCUGUUUGUGUCACCAGGAGCAAAACCUGAGGUAAAGCUGCUUUGCUUUGCUUUGCCUUGCUUUUGAGGGUUACAGUUUUGCUGGUCAAAGUAAUGUGAGAUCAGUUGCCUGCGUGAAGUUUUCUACCCGUGGGGAACAAGAGAAACUGUCACACGGUACAUCUUUGGUACUCAGGCCCUGCAGCCAAAUUCUUGGCUGAGGUAAAUUUAUGGCAGUGAAAGAAUCAGCCCAUUGUUUCCAAUUAACCUCUUUGGAGUUUCUGUAUUGCUCAACAUUGUCUAGUACUCUAGAAACUCUGGGAUUUAAAACAAACAAACAAACAAAAAGUCAUUACAUGGUACUAUUUUCUGUGCCUCUCAGCCUGUGCAGCUGGGUUGCCUUAGUUACCAUGAAUCCAACUGUGCAAGUGGAGGGAAAGGCGAAUGAGAAAUAAUAUGUUUUUAAAACCUCUAAUACUAUAUGAAACAGUUAACCUAUAAAUAAUAAAACAAAUUUUGGGUCUGGCAUCUUUUGGCUGUUCUGAAAAGGAAAAACAAGGUUAUAUUAUUAAACUGGAUUUUCUGCUUUCAGAAAUGAUACUGCAUCUUUUUGGUGGUGCACAGGACAUAGCUUUAAAAAUUCCUUGCUCAAAGCUGGAAGCUGCCAUCCAUGGACUCUGCAAUAAUUUGGAGUUAAAUAUACCUUUAUGGGUGAAAAAAAAAUAAACAUUUGUAGCUGGUGCUCUUUGUUUCAGCAGAAGUGGUAGUGGCCUGAGGCUACAAAGGAACAUGGAGGAGAGUCCUUACAGAGCAUAGCACUGUGGGACAAGCUCCAUUUGCAGCCUACUGUCCUCCACAGAAUACAAGUCCACCAGGAAAUCAGGGUUAUUUUAACUGUAUUAUCUUUCCCACUGGGAUGGGAAGUUGAGGUGGGAAUGAGUAGAAUGAAAAAAAGUGUAUGGAGGCAUUUUUGCUGCGAGAAGAAAGGGAAAAGGAAGGCAGAUGGGAGAUUCUUCAAUACCUCAGGAGGAGAGAAAGCAACAGCACUGAAAUCCUAAGGAGCUUUUAUCCAGGUACUGGGGUCCUGGGACACGGGACAAGCACUAUAAGGAACCCAGGACGCCUGCAGCACCAUGCAACAUCAAUUCAAAGAAGAUAUUGCGAUGACUCAAAUGUGGAGGAUGAUCAACAUCUGAUCGUACGGGUUCCACCUGUGCUUGCCUGCACUGCUAACUUUUCCUGGCUGGAAAUCUGGGGCAGGAGGGGAUUGUCUUGUGAGCAUGGCAUGCUAGCAGUUUGCUUUUGCAUCCAUGUAUGACCCGCAAGGCCAAGGCAGGACUUUCACUGGGGAGCCAGGAAGGUUGGUAGUCCUGUGGAUAAUUCAAGCUUACUCCGAGAUGUCUGGCAGGAUUGACUGAAAAGAACCUAGGGGGACAACACAUGUCUCUCACAAUUGUUAUCGUAUUAGGCUGUGGCCUGGAUUAGGAUAAAUGGCUCCAAACUUGGUUACAUAAUGUAGUGCUAAAGUCCAUUGCUUCCAAAGCUACUCUCACAGGUUUUAAAUCUCAAGAGUGUUUCAUCUGUGACGCUUAUUGUCUAUUCCAGUUUGUCAUUCAGUGCAAUGAAGAUGCUUUCUAGCUAAAUGAUGGGCAGAAAUGGGAAGGUUGGAUCCCCACAUAGUUCCAGCUGCUUCUCAGAAAGAUUUGUGUGAGGAGAAAUCCCUUCUCUACUGACCAGUUAUUCUGUGUCCUUCACCCUAGGCCCCAGGUGCUUCCUAAGCUCUGGAAACUGUCUGAUAGGACAGCAUACCCUGAAACUACACAGAUCCGCUCCAGAGCUGAGUCUCCAAGUCGCUGGAAACGUUGGCAGCUUCCUGUAGUUAGAUGGGAUGGGCCAUUCUUCUGGACCCCGGCACUAGAGCGUGGAUGCUAUGAACAGGAAUGGAUGCAAGCCUAGUUCCAGGGCUGUAUGACACAUAAAGGAGGUGGAUGGAGGGCUAUGGACAGAGCAGAGGCCCUGUUAGAUGUAGUUUAACAGGUUGGAGAUAAAUUGGUUCAUGUCACUGGGAACAUAAGAUUUUUCCACUGAUGGAGUGGGAGGUGGUAGUGGGACAGAUGCCUCCUUGGUACCCGUCAGUUUGCACCUGGUUCUGAGUAUCGCUUUCUAACUCAAGUUUCUAAAUCUAGUCGUGUCCCUGCCAAAUACCAAACUGAGUGACUGCUAUUCCUCCUCUGCUCCCACGACUCCUGGACCUUUGAGAUUUGGUGGUUUUGCAGUAGGUAAGACAACAAGCAGGGGUAAAUUUGGUGCUACUGGUAGAGAUGAAAGGAGAACUCCAGCCCAGCAGAAAUAACUCAAAGUGCCCUGCAGUUUACGGCAGUUUAGCUGCCUUUCUAAAGAGACCCCAGAAGAGCAGGAGAUACAAAGUGUGGUCUCAGGACCUGUACUGAGUUUGAAGAAACCUGCUCUGCCUGUGUCUGGGAAUAGUUUUCAUGGAUCUCACCUGUUUUUAAAUGACUUACCCACAGACCAGACUAUUGUCUACCAUGUGUGAGAGGGAACUUAGUCUAAGUACAGAGUUUGGCCUUGUUUUCAAAGCAGAUUACUCAAAGAAAAUGUUUUAACAUAUGUAAUUCUUACCAACUGAUAUAAAGAAAAGCAGUACAUCCUAAUAGGAUCAGUCCCUUCUUCUUUGCUGGGUAGUGAUGUGGUGUGGCAAGGAUUUCCAGGAGAGCAACUGGCAAUAUUGCCGUGUGCUGAGGAGAAAAGAGAGUCUGUCACAGACUGGUCACGAUGCCUCAUGCUCAUUCAUUGCUGCUCACAAAGCUCAAGAGCCAGCAUGUGGGCAAAGGGGUGUUUAACAAUACUGAGUGUAGUUGCAUACAUAUACACUUACUUCAUUUUUCAUAGCAAAGAAUUACCCCUACAGUAACGAGCACUGAAAUUUUCUUGUUAGUGUGCUGUAAAAGGUGUUGUAAUGAGGUCCACCCAUAGAAAGAUCUGUGUUAUUUUGUAAUAGGUGAUCUUUCCUUUACAUUUAAUAAUGCAAUAAAGCUUUUGGUAACUCCCAUUAGAGUACAAAGAAUGUUGAAGUCCAUUGUUAUGUGCAUUUGAGGAUGACAGAGGUCUUGUUCUUGAACUCAUUAAGCAAUUGCUGAAUUGCCUUCAUGUUUUCUUCAGGUCAUUACUGUAUUUUAUAUGUUAUCAUUUACUCUACUGCAAAUAUAGUGUUGUUCUGCUCUUUGUAAACUGAAAAAUGUGGUGAUAAAGGGCAGAGAACUUAAGUUAGCUGUAAUUCAAGAUGAUUAAGGAUCCUCAAGAAGCUUAACCAAGAGUCAGUAAAGAGUCAGCUUGCUGGAGGACCUUUUUUGUUUUGUUUUGUUUUCUUUUGUCAGAGUUUGAAUUGUAUUAAAUAGCAUCAGCGUCAAGGCCCUUUAUGAAGGUAACUAUUGGAGCAAGGAGGAUUUUUGACAGAAACUGUUUUGUGUUUUUACUGUUUUGUGGCUGGGGAGCUGCCUCCAGGAGGAUGCUCCUCACCUGUACACCCAUGGAGAGGAUGGGGCACAGCACAACUCCUUAUGGGCUUGGAUGUCAAAUGGGCAAAGUGGGGCUCUUGAUAUGCUAAUGCCUCACCUUGUUGGCUGAUUUGUGGCAACUUCAGAAAAUAAUUUGUCAGGAUGAAAUUUCCCUGCUAAAACCUUGUAAAUUUCACUGUGCAAACAAACAAUAGUUAUAAAUCUCAAUACCUAGGACAGAUGGAGUAAACAAUGUUGGGAAACAACACAGAAAAAAACAGUCAAUGAGGUACAAUGAGAGGAAACUAUUGCAGAGGUUGUUGAUUUUCAAUUAAAAUGCUCAUAAUUAAGCAAAUGGUUUCAUGGGUAGAUGAUAGGGGGAAGGGAACAGGACAGCAGAAAAAGAUACAUAGGCUUUAAAAAAAACACACAAACAAACAUGAAACUAAUGAUUUUUUGUUUCUCCCUUAAAAACCCAACCUGCUGUGUGUAUGAUAUGAAGUUUCCUCUUGUCUAAAGGGAAUGGUUCUACUACCUUCAAGGUAUAUAUUUGUCAGAAACUGUGCUGAGUAUGUGAUAUGGUAGCACGGUGUCAAAGUUUUAUUGCUGUGUAUUUAUAGUAUGAGAUGCCAAAAAUACACAUGAAAUUCUUUACAUGUACAUCAAUCUUUAAAUGCAUGCAUAAAAACAUUUAUAUUUCUAAACAUUUUUAUUUCUAAACAUUCUUAUUUCUUUAAGAGGUGGGCAUCAGUCUUUUCUGUCACUGCCAAGCAACAGCUUACUGGAAGCUGUACGUCCUCCCCCAACACACUCCCAAGAGUUGUUUUUCGUGCGUGGCUGUCCCAUUACCAAAACCCUUCCAUCUCAGUUAUCAUUUCUCAGAGAAAAGAAAGUGAGCAAUAGUUUAUCUUCAAACAAAACUACCCAUGGAAGACAGCAAUGAUAGAAAACCUCUGCUCUAUCCUCACAAUUACGCGUUAGCUGUUUACAGUGGAUUUGUCCAUUAUGCAAAGUGGAUAUAAGUCCUGGUUUUCAUCUGACAUGAAAUAGCCUACAAAAUUCCUUUGGGAAACAUAAAAUGUCCUUGCUAGUCAUUUAAUUUAAACACUUUUAACAACUCUAAGCUGGUUGCUCCAGCUGCAUUAGUGGUGUACUAAGAAGAAUUUAGCAAGAGUGACCUGGUGAAAUAAUCUUUUGUUGAAGCAAACAGUUUUCAGGUGGGGGUUGUUUUAUAUACUUAAUUCCUUGGUUUGAGUCUUUUUGUCCUCAGAGUGAAUACUAAAUAAGUACAGGUCGCUUUAAUAGAAAAAGCACUUGGCACACUGGGACGGUAUUAACAGGAAUAUUGUGUGUAAGAUCUGGGAAGUAACUAUUCUACUCUACUUGACAUUGAUGAGGUUUUGGCUGGCACUCUGCCUAUGAUUUAGGACACACCAUUUUGACAGAUGCAGAUAAUUUGGAGCACACCCAGAGAAAGACCAGCACAAACAGCAGGAAAACAUGAACAAGAAAGCAGUCCAAAGACAGCAGUAGAAAUCAUGACUGAAUGCAUUGUUGCAUCUAGAGAGAAAAGUAAAAUGAGAGAGGAGUCAGAUGAGGGCUCAAGGCACCCUGCAGCAGCACAUUAACAACAUGUAGGCAGCAGUGCAGUGCUUUCUGAUAUGGUCACAGUGAGCAAUAAGCUGGGGGUGGUGAGGGGAAGCCCACUACACUAACAUACGCAUUGGCACCACAGAUGGUGAGGAAACCAGUAGUGGUUGUGAAAGAUGGUUGGGAGCUCUGCUCAGGGGCCUGUAAAUCAAAAGGUUUGAAAGUCACUGGUAAAGCUGAAAGUGCAUGUGCUUUUGGAAAUGGCCAGGAGUUUAGUGGUGAGGUGCUGGUUCAAAUUUCUGCUCUUUGUGAUUCACAAAGGCUGAAGCCGAGCUUCCCACUCACUGGAAGAGUACUGCCACCUCCGAGAGCAACAGCACUGUUCAGGCAUGGGGCUGCCUGCCUCUUGGUUUGUGAACAGUUUCUUAUAGGUCUUGGAUCUACCCUGAUAUGGAAAAAGAAAAAGGAGAAAAAGAAAAAGAAAUGAAUUUGUUGUGGUGUAGGAAAGCUGUUUUCCUCCCAAGUCUAACUAUGACACUGGCACACAAUUUAUUAAUGUAAGUGCUGUGUCUUCUGUACAAAUAAUUGUACAUUCCUAAAAAUAUUUUGCUAUAUAUUAAACCAUUUUUAUUUAUCGAUAUAUUUUUUAGCCUUUUACUGGUUAGAGAAUGCACUGUAUGUAUGAACUAGGUAAACUCUUUCUAGGGCCAUUUGAAAUUGCCAUACAAAUAACUUCUCAAGACAGAUUGUUCUCAGUUACUUCCUGCACACCCAGAUUGAAAAUGUUUUGGUUUAAUAUUUUGCUUUUUGGAUAUCAAGUUUCUUUUUCUUUACACAUACAACCCAGAAACCAAUUAUAGAUCCAUAAAACGUCCUGGAAAAAUCUUCCCUUACAUUUUUGUUAUGCUAGCGUCUGAUGGUGAUGUCAUAUAUUUCUGCCAAGGCAAGUUUGUCCAUUAGUGGCAAAAUCACAGUGGAAUUUCUACUGAAACAAGUAUGUUUACAAGAACAGAUGAGUUCCUCAUGAUACAUAUUUAUACAGCAGAUAUCAGAGGAAUGCGUGGUUUGCUACCGAGUGUGGAGCUUGCCCUUUGCCUACGACACGUGGUUAGCUUUCCAAAUGACUUCCCUCUCAUAGCCGAUAGACGUUGGUUUUGACAGCAUCAUUAGUGAUAGAUGAUGUAUCAUAGCUAAUCUUGUCUGCUGAAAGGCUUUAAAGACUUCUCACGUCUUCAUCAAAAAGAUGUAUUUUUUUCUCUGUCAUUAUUUUUGCCAUAGGUCUCUAGUUCAUGGUUCAUUAAACAAGCUUUCAGCCCUUUUUUGAGUAUGCUUUGUAUUGUUAAACUGAUAUUUGACUAAAGAGUGCAUUAUUUGUAUGGGGCCAAAUUCAAACAGAGUCUUGCCUCUUGCUUUAAAAAAAAAACAAUCAUUAAGCUCAGAUUGACGCAGAUCAAAAUAUUGGCAAAAAUUGCUGGAAACAGUGACUUACUUUUUAUUUCAAUUAACAGUUUCUCUGUUUCACAUAUAAACAGUGAAACUGCCAAAAAUAAUUAUCACAGAGGGAGAAAAAAAUAUUUCACUGCAAGAUAAGGAAAACUGGGUAAAACGAUGGUUGUGUGCACUGUUCUGGCUAUCAAUGAACUGAAUAAUAGAGCCUUUUUUUUCUCUUGGUAGGAAACCUGUUAGUACUUAUUUUUCUGUUCUUUUAAAUAUUAAUAUACUUACUUGUCUAAUAGCCUCUGCUUGUUGAGAAGAGCUUUUAGCUUACAAAUUUUGUGGGAAUAGAAACAUUUUCAAUGGCAGUUUUUUAUCUGUAUAGUGGAAAGAUGAAGAUUAUGGGACUUUAAAAAUUACCAUUUUGUUAACUAAUCAGAUUUAUCAUGUGAAUCCUUUUUGCUAUCUUUUGACUGAAAAAUCCUCUGUGGUUCUUUUUGUUACCUAUGAUUUUCAGCUUGGGUUUGGCUUCUUUGCUCUUAUUCUGACAAACUCAGGUAAAUUUGAAUUAAUUAUAAAAUUGUGAAAUUAUUCAUGUUUCUCAUGAACUUUGGCAUAUGAGUACAGGGAAAAAAUGUUUCUUGAAUGUAUGCCAAACUCCAUCUGAAAUAUUGGCAUGUUAAUUCAUCUCCUGCAGAGAAGGAUGAAAUUAUAACAUUUUCCUGUUUCUCUCUUUUUUGUUCCUUACCCUAUGUUGUAAGUUGUUUCCUAGGAUACAUUUCAGGUUCAUGCAUUUAAACCGAGAUAAACAGACCUCUCUGGAUAUUAUUUCCGCUGUUGGGUGAGACCACAUGGAAUUUUUACUUCCCAUACUUAUUACUUUGAGUAAUUUGCCUGUUUAUUCAAUGUUAUAUACUUGUUUUGUUGUUGAGAAUAUAAGUAAAAGCAAGUUUCCUAGGGCCAAGAAGACAGGGUUGGGUAGAGCUUUGUUCAGCUGCAGACUCCAGUCUAUGCUGAGUUUUAAUCACAUGAAUAAUCUCCCCAGAGCUGCUGAGAUCACUUGUAUGCCUAACACAUGCAUUUCAGUUUGACUCAGUUUGACCGUGUUUGACUCCAGAGUCAAGGAAAUGAUGCCAUGAUUGACCAUAGUUUUUUGUUUCUCAUUUGUCUGCAUUUACAUACCCUCCGUGUCUGCUUUCCAUUAAUAUGUGAGAUUUUAGCAGGGGAUUUUUCACAAACAGUUACCACUGGCCAAACUAAACUUCACUGGGCACAGUCAGACACCAUCAAGUGCUUUUGAAAAAUUGCCCAUCUUUUUCAGACAAAUUCUCCACAGAGCCUGUGUGCUGAAAAACUCUUAUGGUAGAUACCCAUGUUUGUAUCUUCUCCACAUGUCACUGCCAGUAAAAAGCAGAAACCCGCUUCAAUGUGGUAUUCUGAGAUGCAAAAAUCCAGUGUUCACUGAUUUACUUUUGAAGUGUUUUACUCAGUUGUUCAGCUCAUUUUUGGGAAAAUUCCUAUUGUCUCUUAAAAUUUCCUUGGGUUAUUAUUAUUUUUUUUAAUAAAUAUUUACAGUAUGUUAUCUGAAAAUCAUAAAACUAAAUGGCUUACUGACACCAUAGCUUCUAUCUAGUUUUAUACUCCUCAUAAUUUUCUGGAUCCCUGCAUGCUGUCACCCUUCUUGGCUUCAUCUUGGGGUAAAUUCCCUCUUUUGAUUUAUUUUGCUAUUAAACUGUCUUCAUUCAAAUGCCUCCUUUAAAAUUUUAUUUUGUGGUUUGUCCUUAUGCAUUUUUUUCUUCCUCUCUAAACCUCUCCUUCUUCUUUAGGGCGUGAGGGGUUUAAGCAGCAUUGUUCACUUAUUUAUUUAAAAGGUACAUUAUUUUGAUUAAAAUACUUAGCUAUAUAACUACUCUUCUCUCAGAGAAAAGCUGUCUCUAUCACCUUUCUCUUAUAUUCUCAGACAUCAGUGCAUGUUCAGGAAAUCACAAAUUAUUCAAAAUUUUAUAGAUGGAGCAGGCUGUACAAGGAGCCCCAUUACUGAGCAGGUGUGGUACCAAAUUGGUUGGGAAGCUAUUGCUCUAUUUAAGUCCUGCAGCGCUCCACCAAACUUUCAGCUACUACUUGUGUCUGUCCUUUCCAAUUCCACUUAUGCUUGUAUGUCUUAAAGGCAUUAUUUUUUCUGUGUUUUCAUAGACGUGUAGGUAGUUUGGGAGUGUGAUUGGGAAAACAGAUGAAACAUCAGAGCAACUGUACGAUCACAAGUAUAGUGAGAUCAGAGGUAACAUUUCCUGCAUGCAUGUAUGCAUUUCUGUAAAGAAAGUCCUGGCUGAAUAUCUGAAUACUUACUAACAAAUGUUUUGUAUCGGUGUAAAAGACAGAAUUUUAAUUGCAUUUCUCCCUGGCAUUAGAUGCAUAGUCUAGGAAGCUGAGGUUGCACUGCAGCUGGAAGCUGACAUGGGACUGGAAUGACACAUCCUUCGCUGCGGAAUACUUUUCUCCAGUUGUUCCUUCACAGAGUGGGUUAUGGGGACAGCACCUGUGUGUGCUGGGGUAGCAGCAGCCAGGGAGGAUUCCCUGCCAUAAUAUUUGUCUGUGAAACAUAUAUUUUCUCCCUGAGGAAAUGGGCUUAUGUCAACAAAAAUGGAAACUUCAAAAAACAUAUGUAGUGCUGGGAAAAGCUAAGUAUCUUUGCAUUUAAAGUAUAUGGGGUGAUUAAUUUAAUGUGCCAUAUCCCUCACACGCACAUUCUUUUUCUUUGCCAAAAGUUGAAUAUAAUUGGAAGCUUAUGAAUGUCCAUAGUUGCCAGACAGCUUAAAUUUGAGAUACUGUGAAAUACAAACAAAUGGAAAUGUUUCUCUCUUGUGUAAAUAUAUAAGAAUUAUUAAGAGUUAAAUACUGUUGUAUAAAGAAUUAUUUGAGGUGGUCAUAGAUGAAACUGUUCUUGUGUACAUGCUUCAAGCAGGAGUCUGGUUGGAGUGGCCUGGACAAACAGGUUUUGCUCUAUGCAUUGAUUUUGCACCCCUUUGGCUGGUUAGUGUUGCAGCAGCUUUCCAAUGCAGUUAUAGAAAGAUAUAAUCCUUCAUAUAGGUGCCCUCAUAUAUGAAUAGGAGUGAUUUGUAUUCAUACAACUUGUUUGCUUUUCUAGGUGGAGGUAAACCAUACUGAUACAACACCACAUUUCUGUUGAUGCAGUUGUGUCCACACUAGAAAGGCAAUGGAAAAGGAAAAGCUAGAUGGAUAUCAGAAAAGCAGCUUGUAGAUUCCAAAAAGCUCCAAGAUGAGGAAACGCAUGGCACGUCUUGCUGGUGUUACUGUCAGGGCAUCAGUGCCUUGCUUCAGUGAAGCAUUUCAAUGGCUUCAGAGGUUUGACAAGCAAUGAUUCACUGACAUUCCUGGUGCGCUGAAAGGCUUCUUGAGGCAACUUCAAGCAUGCAUCUGUUUGUUGUGUCAGCUCAACAUCAAAGUCAGAUAAGUAGGAAGGAGGAGGUGAGAAAGAAGAAGCUGUGAAACUUUUCCGGAAAGCUACCUAACGCAAUGGUGGGACACACAUUGCAAAGUCUCUCUUCUGAGCAAGACGCAGGGGUGUUUCUUACUCACCAUAGCGUGAUUUAACCAGAGCGGAAUGACUCCAUCAAGGCUUUUGGGGUAAACUAGCUCUCGGUUGUAGGUAUACAGUGUCCAAAAGGAUAUAGACACAAACUGGAAACAAAAUACAAAAAGAAAGAUGUUUCAAAAUGAGAGAAAUGUAAUUGAUGGGAUUUGGAUAAUGCUUUCAUUUCUGAGAAGGCAAAUAUCUCCUACAUGGAAAAUAUUGAUAUUGCCAGAUAGUCUCCUGUAUCUCACCUUACUACAUAAAAAAAGGAAUUUAUGCUGAGGUGCCGUGUUCUGUAUUGAUAUUGUAAGAAAAUGCUCCUUUAUAAAUUGCCAACACUGACAUUUUCUGUGGAACACAUGAUUAGCUUUAAACUUUCUUUUUUUUUUCUGAAAGAGUUUUUGGAUGGUCCAAAAGUUCACCUUUGAGGGAUUGGCUGUCAAGCCACAGCAUUUGUUCAGCUCAGUAACAAAGUAAAAACAGCCCUUGAUAAGGCAGAUCACCUAAAACUUUAUCUUCACGAUCCAUAUGCCUAAUUCCCGAUUUGCAAAUGCAAGUUUCAUGGUGGGCACCCAUCUUUUCCAAUAGAGAUUUUGUAGUGGGAGAAGCUAAUGGGAGGAAACACACUCUGGUAUCAGCUACUAACACCUGGAAGCUGAUCUGCAUUUUCAUGGCCUGGCUUUGUGUUUGAGCACACUUUGUGCCUCCUGGAAAUCAGGGGUUCGAGAUGCUGGAGAAAUGAGAGCACCCUGUGCCUCUGUCCUGGUGAAGAUGCCUGGGGGUUAGGGUAGCAGCAUGGUGAAUACUGCUGUGCAGUAAAGAUAAAUUACCAAUCGCACUGUCUCCACCUCUGGCAGGAUUUCUUUACUGAGCCAGCUGGCUGAGCUGCUUGUGGACCAGAUUUAAGAAGUGCUUCUUAGCUCUUUGAGAUUCAGAGGUGAUUGCAGGCUUCACUCACAACCAGCAGCACCUACAUGUUAAAGUAAACCAUUGUUUCCAACGCCCAGCACCAGAUGAACAGCACUAUCUGUGAGGGAGUGGGUGAUCCAUGAUCUGAUGAAGGCUAUGACUAUAAUUAUUGUCCUCUGAAUCUGUUUCUCUCUAAUGCAUAUUUAAAGUCAUACUGGAGUCAGAGAAGGAGGUGUCAGCUUUUGCUGCAUCCUAGGCACCCUCUCAUAUCCUCCUGGCUCCUGUUGCCCUUCAGAGAAAUGCCCUAAGUGGAUAACUCCAAAGCUAUUUGGAACAUAAGAUUAACAGAGAGUUUAUACUUCACCCUUUGGGGUCAACCUCUGUUUGUUCAGGGACAAUCACCCUGAAGUUUUUACAAGAGGCUUUGCUUUCAACCAUGAAUGCAAAAGGUUUACACAAAGAUCUGAACACCGUCUCUUCUUUUAGAUGGUUCAAAUCCAUUUUGAAAGGGUAAAAGAGUCUACAAUCCUUAUCUGUUUCAUGUAUUUGCAUGUUUUGCUAUACACAUUUGUGCAAACAUUAUUUUUAUAUACAGAGGUUACUUACUGUGGACACUGGGAAAGCCAGGACACUGAAAAGAAGGUCUCUGCUGGAAAUUAUGCACUUAGCACAUCGCAGUUUCUUAAUUAGUCUCAACACAUCAGCCAGGAAGGACACCCCAUAGAAGACAGCCUGCAAAACCUAAAGUAAUUAUAUCUAAUGAGGGAAACUCAUCCAGCUUUAAUUAGCAUGUUCCUCAAUGAACUCAGUUCUUGCUCUUCAGGGAGCUGUUUUGUUUGUGAGCUGCAAGCCCACAUGAGGGAAAU